GGAAUGUGGCUCAGUGGUAGUGCACUUGCCUGGCAUGCAUGAAGCUCUGUAUUUGAUUCCCAGCACCA
rnacentral:tRNA from 1 species